rnacentral:rRNA from 1 species
GCAUAUCAAUAAGCGGAGGAAAAAGAAACCAACCGGGAUUGCCCCAGUAACGGCGAGUGAAGCGGCAACAGCUCAAAUUUGAAAUCUGGAGUCGUUGUGGCUCCCGAGUUGUAAUUUGCAGAGGGAGCCUCGGAGGGCUGGUCGGUCCAAGUGCCUUGGAACAGGAUACCGCAGAGGGUGAGAGUCCCGUAUCCGGCCGACGCAGCGCUCCGUGUGAGGCCUCUUCGACGAGUCGAGUUGUUUGGGAAUGCAGCUCUAAGUGGGUGGUAAAUUCCAUCUAAAGCUAAAUACUGGCCAGAGACCGAUAGCGAACAAGUAGAGUGAUCGAAAGAUGAAAAGCACUUUGAAAAGAGAGUUAAACAGUACGUGAAAUUGUUGAAAGGGAAGCGCAUGGGGGCAGACUUGGACGCGGGGUUCAGGGUCACAGUUUUGAGGCCUGUACUUCCCCGCGGACAGGCCAGCAUCGGUUCUGGGGGCCGGACAAAGGCGAGGGGAACGUGGCUCUCUUCGGGGAGUGUUAUAGCCCUUUGCGCAAUGCGGCCACCUGGGACCGAGGACCGCGCUUCGGCAAGGAUGCUGGCGUAAUGGCCUCAUGCGGCCCGUCUUGAAACACGGACCAAGGAGUCUAACAUCUAUGCGAGUGUUUGGGUGGCAAGCCCGGACGCGCAAUGAAAGUGAACGGAGGUGGGAGCCCUUUUCUUGUGGAGGGGGUGCAGCAUCGACCGAUCCGGACGUUUUCCGAAGGAUUUGAGUAAGAGCAUAGCUGUUGGGACCCGAAAGAUGGUGAACUAUGCGUGAAUAGGGUGAAGCCAGAGGAAACUCUGGUGGAGGCUCGCAGCGGUUCUGACGUGCAAAUCGAUCGUCAAAUUUGCGUAUAGGGGCGAAAGACUAAUCGAACCCUUUCUAGUAGCUGGUUCCUGCCGAA